CCUACGGGAGGCAGCAGUGGGGAAUUUUCCGCAAUGGGCGAAAGCCUGACGGAGCAAUACCGCGUGAGGGAAGACUGCCUAUGGGUUGUAAACCUCUUUUUUCAGGGAGGAAUAAAAUGACGUGUACCUGAAGAAUAAGCAUCGGCUAACUCCGUGCCAGCAGCCGCGGUAAGACGGAGGAUGCAAGUGUUAUCCGGAAUCACUGGGCGUAAAGCGUCUGUAGGUGGUUUAAUAAGUCAACUGUUAAAUCUUGAGGCUCAACUUCAAAACCGCAGUCGAAACUAUUAGACUAGAGUAUAGUAGAGGUAAAGGGAAUUUCCAGUGGAGCGGUGAAAUGCGUAGAGAUUGGAAAGAACACCGAUGGCGAAAGCACUUUACUGGGCUAUUACUAACACUCAGAGACGAAAGCUAGGGUAGCAAAUGGGAUUAGAUACCCCAGUAGUCCUAGCCGUAAACAAUGGAUACUAGAUGUUGAACAGAUCGACCUGUGCAGUAUCAAAGCUAACGCGUUAAGUAUCCCGCCUGGGAAGUAUGCUCGCAAGAGUGAAACUCAAAGGAAUUGACGG
rnacentral:rRNA from 1 species